GUGCAGCAGUCGAGAAAACUUCACACUGUGCGAAAGCACGAUGAGGGAAUCCCAAGUGCUUGCACGUAAGUGUAAGCUGUUUCUCUGUCUAAAACGCAGAGAGAGUAAGGGCUGGGUAAGACGGGUGCCAGCCGCCGCGGUAAUACCUGCAGCUCAAGUGGUGACCGUUAUUAUUGGGCCUAAAACGUCCGUAGCCGGUUUAAUAAAUGCCUGGGUAAAUUGUGUAGCUUAACUAUACGAAUUCCGGGUAGACUGUUAAACUUGAGACCGGGAGAAGUUAGAGGUACUCCUGGGGUAGAGGUGAAAUUCUGUAAUCCUAGGGGGACCACCAGUGGCGAAGGCGUCUAACUAGAACGGGUCUGACGGCGAGGGACGAAGCCCUGGGGCGCAAACGGGAUUAGAUACCCGGUAGU
rnacentral:rRNA from 1 species